AUUGAACGCUGGCGGCAGGCCUAACACAUGCAAGUCGAGCGGAUGAAGGGAGCUUGCUCCUGGAUUCAGCGGCGGACGGGUGAGUAAUGCCUAGGAAUCUGCCUGGUAGUGGGGGAUAACGUCCGGAAACGGGCGCUAAUACCGCAUACGUCCUGAGGGAGAAAGUGGGGGAUCUUCGGACCUCACGCUAUCAGAUGAGCCUAGGUCGGAUUAGCUAGUUGGUGGGGUAAAGGCCUACCAAGGCGACGAUCCGUAACUGGUCUGAGAGGAUGAUCAGUCACACUGGAACUGAGACACGGUCCAGACUCCUACGGGAGGCAGCAGUGGGGAAUAUUGGACAAUGGGCGAAAGCCUGAUCCAGCCAUGCCGCGUGUGUGAAGAAGGUCUUCGGAUUAAAGCACUUUAAGUUGGGAGGAAGGGCAGUAAGUUAAUACCUUGCUGUUUUGACGUUACCAACAGAAUAAGCACCGGCUAACUUC
rnacentral:rRNA from 1 species